GCCCAGACUCCUACGGGAGGCAGCAGUGGGGAAUAUUGCACAAUGGGGGAAACCCUGAUGCAGCGACGCCGCGUGAGUGAAGAAGUAUUUCGGUAUGUAAAGCUCUAUCAGCAGGGAAGAAAAUGACGGUACCUGAUUAAGAAGCCCCGGCUAACUACGUGCCAGCAGCCGCGGUAAUACGUAGGGGGCAAGCGUUAUCCGGAUUUACUGGGUGUAAAGGGAGCGUAGACGGAUGUGCAAGUCUGAUGUGAAAGGCGGGGGCUCAACCCCUGGACUGCAUUGGAAACUGUAAAUCUUGAGUGCCGGAGAGGUAAGCGGAAUUCCUAGUGUAGCGGUGAAAUGCGUAGAUAUUAGGAGGAACACCAGUGGCGAAGGCGGCCUACUGGACGGUAACUGACGUUGAGGCUCGAAAGCGUGGGGAGCAAACAGGAUUAGAUACCCCAGUA
rnacentral:rRNA from 1 species